rnacentral:rRNA from 1 species
UACGGGGGGAGCAAGCGUUGUUCGGAUUUACUGGGCGUAAAGGGCGCGUAGGCGGUCAGCACAAGUCAGUUGUGAAAUCUCCGGGCUUAACUCGGAAAGGUCAACUGAUACUGUGCGACUAGAGUGCAGAAGGGGCAACUGGAAUUCUCGGUGUAGCGGUGAAAUGCGUAGAUAUCGAGAAGAACACCUGCGGCGAAGGCGGGUUGCUGGGCUGACACUGACGCUGAUGCGCGAAAGCCAGGGGAGCGAACGGG